UAGAAUAUAUUUUCAGGGAUCAUAUCUAUAGUCACUAGAGAAGUUUCUCUGAACAUGUAGAGCACCAGAAACCAUGAUGAAGACAUAAAAUGUUCUCUCCUGAGUGUGAAGCUGGCGUUGAGUAUUGUUUUUGCAACUGCUCUCUUACUAGUGACUUUUCAUACCACUUCUAUGGUGGCAGGAGGGAGAGGAUGCAAUCUCAGUGG
rnacentral:snoRNA from 1 species